rnacentral:rRNA from 1 species
GUGUCAGCAGCCGCGGUAAUACGUAGGGUCCGAGCGUUGUCCGGAGUUACUGGGCGUAAAGCGCGCGCAGGCGGCGGUGCUGGCCCGGCGUGAAAGCCCCCGGCUCAACCGGGGAGGGUCGUCGGGGACCGCACCGCUUGAGGGCGGUAGGGGCUGGUGGAAUGCCUGGUGUAGUGGUGAAAUGCGUAGAGAUCAGGCGGAACACCCGUGGCGAAGGCGGCCAGCUGGGCCGUCCCUGACGCUGAGGCGCGAAGGCGUGGGGAGCGAACGGGAUUAGAUACCCCAGUAGUCC